rnacentral:rRNA from 1 species
AGUGAACGCUGGCGGUAGGCCUAACACAUGCAAGUCGAACGGCAGCACAGUAAGAGCUCGCUCUUACGGGUGGCGAGUGGCGGGCGGGUGAGGAAUACAUCGGAAUCUACUUUUUCGUGGGGGAUAACGUAGGGAAACUUACGCUAAUACCGCAUACGACCUACGGGUGAAAGCAGGGGAUCUUCGGACCUUGCGCGAUUGAAUGAGCCGAUGUCGGAUUAGCUAGUUGGCGGGGUAAAGGCCCACCAAGGCGACGAUCCGUAGCUGGUCUGAGAGGAUGAUCAGCCACACUGGAACUGAGACACGGUCCAGACUCCUACGGGAGGCAGCAGUGGGGAAUAUUGGACAAUGGGCGCAAGCCUGAUCCAGCCAUACCGCGUGGGUGAAGAAGGCCUUCGGGUUGUAAAGCCCUUUUGUUGGGAAAGAAAAGCAGCAGGUUAAUACCCCGCUGUUCUGACGGUACCCAAAGAAUAAGCACCGGCUAACUUCGUG